ACGUGGGCAACCUGCCUAUAAGACUGGGAUAACUUCGGGAAACCGGAGCUAAUACCGGAUACGUUCUUUUCUCGCAUGAGAGAAGAUGGAAAGACGGUUUACGCUGUCACUUAUAGAUGGGCCCGCGGCGCAUUAGCUAGUUGGUGAGGUAAUGGCUCACCAAGGCGACGAUGCGUAGCCGACCUGAGAGGGUGAUCGGCCACACUGGGACUGAGACACGGCCCAGACUCCUACGGGAGGCAGCAGUAGGGAAUCUUCCGCAAUGGACGAAAGUCUGACGGAGCAACGCCGCGUGAACGAAGAAGGCCUUCGGGUCGUAAAGUUCUGUUGUUAGGGAAGAACAAGUACCAGAGUAACUGCUGGUACCUUGACGGUACCUAACCAGAAAGCCACGGCUAACUACGUGCCAGCAGCCGCGGUAAUACGUAGGUGGCAAGCGUUGUCCGGAAUUAUUGGGCGUAAAGCGCGCGCAGGUGGUUCCUUAAGUCUGAUGUGAAAGCCCACGGCUCA
rnacentral:rRNA from 1 species